rnacentral:rRNA from 1 species
CAGCCGCCGCGGGAAUACAGAGGGUGCGAGCGUUAAUCGGAUUUACUGGGCGUAAAGCGUGCGUAGGCGGCUUCUUAAGUCGGAUGUGAAAUCCCUGAGCUUAACUUAGAAAUUGCAUUCGAUACUGGGAAGCUAGAGUAUGGGAGAGGAUGGUAGAAUUCCAGGUGUAGCGGUGAAAUGCGUAGAGAUCUGGAGGAAUACCGAUGGCGAAGGCAGCCAUCUGGCCUAAUACUGACGCUGAGGUACGAAAGCAUGGGGAGCAAACAGGAUUAGAUACCCCGGUAGUUCCUGUCUCUUAUAA